GGAAACUAAAAAUUAAAAAUGGAAGGAAAACACACAAAAUCGGAAGCAGGAGGAAGAAAUUCCGCAAAAGGGGCAAAUUCGCAGAACAGUUGAAGAGAUGGAGGAGAUCCACUAGAGAAACCCAGUGGGAAGCAACAUGCCGAGUGGAACUUCGAUCUCUAUAUGGACAUCCUGCCGGGCGCGUCCUCGCAAAGAAACAGAACCACCAGUAAUACGAUCUCCGACGACCUCUCCAUUAGGACUACGGACACCACCAUCACCAGCUACAUGGCAGCUUAAGCGGAGCUGGGGGACCCGCUGGCUUCUAUAGGGAGGAGGACAAUAGGGCUCCCGCUAAGGAACAGUUGGA